rnacentral:lncRNA from 1 species
UUGAUAAAUUUUAACAUGUUUUAACUAAUCAAAUUGUACAAGGAAUAUCUAUAUCUUUAAUUUACCGAAAAGAUAAGAAUCUCUUACAAUGGAUAGAUAUUUAUUUUGUUUUUUAGAAAAUUAUUGAUGGAUAAAAUGCAAAUAAAUAUUUCAGAUACUCCUUUUGGAUUGGGAAUUUUCUUUCACUUUCUUGGCCCACCACUUUUUUGCCAAAGGUUUUCGAGCUUGUGCGUAUGAACCAUGAACUUGAAAAAGCAGAGGGCGUCACGCAAAGGGCUGCUAAAGACAAAACCACGCCCACGUGAGCUUUGGAACCAGGUCCCAUCCAAUCCUUUUACCAUUCAAGGCAAGCUUAAAGCUGAUAUAGGAGAUCAUCAAAUUGCCCCACAUACUGCUGCAUUUUUAUAUCAAUUAUUUGUCUUUUAGUUCUUAUUGAAGUCAGCACUUGAUAAAAAUGAAGGUGAGCUGGCUUAUCUUUUUAUCAAUAAUGUUGCCAAAUUGAAAAUGAACAUCAGGAUAUCAUGCUUUCAUGUUGUUUUAAUUAUUUGGGAGAUUUCUAUAAAAGAUAUGAUUUCAUUUCACUUUGGUUAUAAAACAAAUUUCUUAUGGGAUUUUCAUUAAUUAGAAAGAUUUUCUUACGCAAUAUAAGGAGUUGUAUUAAUGUAUUACAUCUCAAAUUUUAAUAAGCUUAUCCAAAUUUUCAUCCUCUAAGGCAUUUGAAUAAUGUUUGCGAUGAAUAAAAGAUAAUGAAUUUUUGUGGAGUGUCUUAAUUCUAUUUAUAAGAUUAAAAAUUUCAUCUAUAAAAUUAAAAAUUUUUACUAUCAAUGUAUCAAAAAUAAAAUUGUUUAUACAAGAUUCAUGCAUAUUUUGUGUCUAUCUCAUGAAUAUCAUAUUUUCCAUCCUAAAACUCAAUUUAAAAAUUUUUAAAAUGGAAGAUUAAUUUUUAAUUGUUGGAGUGUUUUCUUAGACACAUCUAAUCCAAACUAUUGAUUGAUCCAAAUAUCGGAAAUAUAAGUAAAUUACAGUGAGUAACCUUUGGUGUUGGAAUAGAACAUUAGAAGAUUGGAAUUUUAUUUUUGCCCACUUGGAAGGUUCGAAUGGCUAAAUAUAUUUCUUUCAAUUUUUAUUUUAUUAUUUGGAUUCGGUCUUAAGCAUGUGAUGAUGUAAAUUCUUAUUCAUUUUGCUUCUUAUCCACCCUACAAUACAUCAAAUCCUUUCUCUUUCCCCCUCUCCCUCCAUUUUCUUUCUUUUUAUUUCCACCCCUUUACCCUUUUCUCGUUUAUAUUCCUUUUAUUUUUAAGUAAAACUCAAAAUUUUGUACUUAAAAUUUCAGAUCCAUAUCCAUAAAUAUAUUUAUCUAUACUCAAAGAGCUGUAUUUAAAUUUAUAAAUUAAUUUAAUUAAUUUAUAUAAUUAUUUUUCAAAAAUAUUUAAAAUAAUAUUUAAUAAAUUUAUAAUUAAAUCACAACACUUACAAUCUCUUUCUUUAUUAUCGAGCAACAACUUUUUAUUUUUAAAACAGUAUCUAAAUUCCCUUUCCCUAUAAAACCCACAAAUUUCAUUGGCGGAUUAAUAUGGGAUUAUGAGAAUAUGCUAAGUAAUAGUUAUAAUUCGUUAUGGGUCUAUGUCACUUUAUAAAGCCCAUAUUCCAAUUAUUGAUGGUUGAAAGUUAAAAUCCAUAAUUGUGGU